AGGUUGACCUCGGAUCAGGUAAGGGAUACCCGCUGAACUUAAGCAUAUCAAUAAGCGGAGGAAAAGAAACCAACAGGGAUUGCCUCAGUAACGGCGAGUGAAGCGGCAACAGCUCAAAUUUGAAAUCUGGCUCUUUCAGGGUCCGAGUUGUAAUUUGUAGAAGAUGCUUCGGGUGUGGCUCCGGUCUAAGUUCCUUGGAACAGGACGUCAUAGAGGGUGAGAAUCCCGUAUGUGACUGGCUGCCUCCGCCCAUGUGAAGCUCUUUCGACGAGUCGAGUUGUUUGGGAAUGCAGCUCAAAAUGGGUGGUAAAUUUCAUCUAAAGCUAAAUAUUGGCCAGAGACCGAUAGCGCACAAGUAGAGUGAUCGAAAGAUGAAAAGCACUUUGGAAAGAGAGUUAAACAGUACGUGAAAUUGUUGAAAGGGAAGCGCUUGCAAUCAGACUUGCGCGCGGUCGAUCAUCCGGUGUUCUCACCGGUGCACUCGAUCGUGCUCAGGCCAGCAUCGGUUUCGGUGGUUGGAUAAAGGCCUUGGGAAUGUGGCUCCUUUCGGGGAGUGUUAUAGCCCUCGGUGCAAUGCAGCCUACCGGGACCGAGGACCGCGCUUCGGCUAGGAUGCUGGCGUAAUGGUUGUAAGCGACCCGUCUUGAAACACGGACCAAGGAGUCUAACAUCUAUGCGAGUGUUUGGGUGUCAAACCCAUACGCGUAAUGAAAGUGAACGGAGGUGAGAACCCUUAAGGGUGCAUCAUCGACCGAUCCUGAUGUCUUCGGAUGGAUUUGAGUAAGAGCAUAGCUGUUGGGACCCGAAAGAUGGUGAACUAUGCCCUGAAUAAGGGUGAAACCCAAAGAAACUCUGGUUGGAGGCUCCCAGCGGUUCUGAAC
rnacentral:rRNA from 1 species